rnacentral:rRNA from 1 species
GAUGAUUGGUGACGGAGCGGCGGACGGGUGAGUAACGCGUGGCUAACCUACCCUCUUGACGGGGACAACCACCGGAAAGGGCGGCUAAUACCCGAUGUUGUCUGGAACCGAUGGGUUCCUUUCCAAAGGCGGUCCUGCCGCCGCAAGAGGAUGGGGCUGCGUCCUAUUAGCUAGUUGGUGAGGUAACGGCCCACCAAGGCUUCGAUGGGUAGCUGGUCUGAGAGGACGACCAGCCACAUUGGGACUGAGAUACGGCCCAGACUCCUACGGGAGGCAGCAGUGGGGAAUCUUGGCCAAUGGACGAAAGUCUGAGCCAGCGACACCGCGUGGGGGAUGACGGCCUUCGGGUUGUAAACCUCUUUUCUGGGGAAAGAAUAAGGACGGGAGGAAAUGCCCGCCCGAUGACGGUACUCCAGGAAUAAGCAUCGGCUAACUCUGUGCCAGCAGCCGCGGUAAGACAGAGGAUGCGAGCGUUAUCCGGAAUUACUGGGCGUAAAGGGCGUCUAGGCGGUUCGGUAAGUCGUUUGUGAAAUCCCUCGGCUCAACCGAGGAGGGCCUUGCGAUACUGCCGAGCUUGGGUGCAGGAGAGGAGGUGGAACUCACAGAGUAGCGGUGGAAUGCGUAGAUACUGUGAGGUACCCCGAUGGCGAAGGCAACCCUCUGGCCUGCUACCGACGCUGAAGCGCGAAAGCGUGGGGAGCAAAGGGGAUUAGAUACCCCCGUAGUCCACGCCCUAAACAAUGUUCACUUGGUGUCGGCCGCUCAUACUGGUCGGUGCCGAAGCUAACGCGUUAAGUGAACCGCCUGAGGAGUACGGCCGCAAGGCUAAAACUCAAGAGAAUUGACGGGUCCCUGCACAAGCGUUGGAGCACGUGGUUUAAUUCGACGAUAAACGAAGAACCUCACCCAGGCUUGACAUACUAGUGGUAGGAACCUGAAAGGGGGACGACCCUGCCUUCGGGUAGGGAGCUAGUACAGGUGAUGCAUGGCUGUCGUCAGCUCGUGUCGUGGGAUGUUGGGUUCAGUCCCGAAACGAGCGCAACCCUUGUCGUUAGUUGCCAGCGGGUAAUGCCGGGGACUCUAACGAGACUGCUGGUGAAUAGCCGGGGGAAGGCGGGGAUGACGUCAAGUCAUCAUGUCCCUUACGCCUGGGGCGACACACAUGCUACAAUGGGGGGUACAGAGGGUCGCAAUCCCGUAAGGGGGAGCCAAUCCAUAAAAGCCCCUCUCAGUUCGGAUUGAGGUCUGCAACUCGACCUCAUGAAGGUGGAAUCGCUAGUAAUCGCGGGUCAGCCAUACCGCGGUGAAUAUGUACUCAGGGAUUGUACACACCGCCCGUCACACCAACCGAGUGGGGGGUACCUGAAGUCGCUCUUCUAAGGGCGCCUAAGGUAACUUCCGCAAGAGGGGUGAAGUCGUAACAAGGUA